UUUUUAAUUGGAAUCUUGUAUGAAUGGUUGGACGAAGGGAAUUCUGUCUUUAUAUUGGAAACUGAAUUUAACUUUUAAGUGAAAAGGCUUAAAUGUAUUAAAGGGACGAUAAGACCCUAUAAAGCUUUAUAUAGAAAUUAAUGUUUAUUAAAUUUAUAAUUAUAAUGGUUUAAUUUAAUUAUUUGUUAUGUUGGGGAGAUAUUAGUAUAAUUUAUGUUAACUGCUAGAAAAUAUAGGCAAAAAUUAUUGUAUAGUGUAAUAGAUCCUUAUUAAGGAUUAGAAGAUUAAGUUACUUUAGGGAUAACAGCGUUAUAUUCUUUGAGAGUUCUUAUCGAAAAGAGUGAUUGCGACCUCGAUGUUGAAUUAAUAAUAUCUAUAUAAUGUAGCUGUUAUAUAAGAAGGUCUGUUCGACCUUUAAAAUUUUA
rnacentral:rRNA from 1 species